ACCUGCAUCGAAAGUGAUUAUGGCGUUGUCUGUUGCCUGGUCAUUGAUACUGCAGGAAGAGUAUGAUGUGAAAGCUUUUCCCGUGUUUGGAGGUUUGACCUUGCUUACCAAACCCUGUAGCCUUCAUACA